UAGAAGGAUUGUCUAUCGGAUAUGCUCUAGCAAUCCGAAUGAGCACAAUAUUCAUUAUAAGACAUAUUCAGCCGAUAUGUCAGCACACGCCUCCAUCAGAUGCUGCUCAUCUGUGGCGGGAUACCCACACGUAUCAAUCAGCCCAUCUACGAAAACCAAUUGUUUUCACACUAAAAAUUUGUUUUUUGCUGAUGCGACCUAGGAUAUCUUAAGCUCUGCUUGAUCGCGACACGCCGCACAAGUGCGAAUCCAGCAGCUAGUGCAGCACAAAAAUACAAAUAAAUGACAAUCGACUUAAUAAUUUCAAUUUUUGCCCAAUCUCCUUCGUCGAACGCAUCGCUAAGAGCAAACAUCAUGGUGAUGUGUUUAUAUCAAUGUCAGUCUUCCUCCUACUCAUAGAUGGCAAUUAAAUAAUUGAGAACACACAUUCACAUAUACGCAAUUGGCGGGUAAGUACUUAUUUACAUACUCAUAUAAUAAUAAAAUAGGAAUGUAAAUAAUGUAUAUAUCCUUGUACCU